rnacentral:lncRNA from 1 species
UCCACAGAAUUAAUCUUUUGCAGUAUGUUGAUCUAGGUUGAUCUUAGUAACUUGUCAACAAUUUCAACGGUCUUAAAACCAAAUUUUAUUGUCUAAAUUUUGAAUGAUCCUCGAUGACAACAUGAACAUAGUUGCAUGCUACCUCAAGAACAAUCAAGUAUUACUUUCUACUGUAAUGAACUUUUGGGUGUUUAUGGUAAUCUUGAGUUUGAUUAUCAUGUACUUUGAACUUUUGGGUCUAGCAACCACUGAUGCUGAGGCUAGGUUUUUCUAUAUUUUAAUAAAGUUUCACUUAUAAAAAAAAGUAUUUUAUGUUUUGAUAGUUAUCACAAACACGUAUGAUAAUUAAAUGCAAGGACAGAACUUAACAAUCUUCUUACACAGUUGAAGUCCUUACACGGACAACAUAUUAUUCAUAAGAUGGAAACACAGAGAUUUGGCCUUCACUGUAGAAAGCAUGGUUAUUUAAGGGAUCAUUUAUAUUAAAACAUAAUAAGAGGGGUGUUUUCAGUGAAAUAUUUAAAUACAAACACUUAGGAUAUGUGAAUUUCAACCUAAGCAAAGGCACCAUGUGCUGUCCUUGCAGCCUGCACUGAUGAACUUAACACCAACAAUUUGCUUGCAUCUCUCAAUGCACGAAGGUUGUGUGCAUGGGUUGAGUGGGAACAUAGAUGAACAUUCCGCAGGUUGUAACUUCAAAACCAAUAAAGUCAGCACUGUUACCACUAGCAACAAAGUCAUCUUGAAAGUAUUUUCUGCCAUUGAAAACUUUCAGCUGCCUUCUUAAGAAAUUUGGAAUGCUUCUCUCCUAACACUGAUUUUGGCCCACUUGAGAUGCAUGGAGCAAUUUCUUCAAUAUUUAUAGACAAGAUAGCAGGG